UACGUAGGGUGCGAGCGUUGUCCGGAAUUAUUGGGCGUAAAGAGCUCGUAGGCGGUUUGUCGCGUCUGCCGUGAAAGUCCGGGGCUCAACUCCGGAUCUGCGGUGGGUACGGGCAGACUAGAGUGAUGUAGGGGAGACUGGAAUUCCUGGUGUAGCGGUGGAAUGCGCAGAUAUCAGGAGGAACACCGAUGGCGAAGGCAGGUCACUGGGCCGCAACUGACGCUGAGGAGCGAAAGCAUGGGGAGCGAACAGG
rnacentral:rRNA from 1 species